AUUUUACGCUGGCGGAAUGCUUUACACAUGCAAGUCGAACGGCAGCACGGGGGCAACCCUGGUGGCGAGUGGCGAACGGGUGAGUAAUACAUCGGAACGUGCCCAGUCGUGGGGGAUAACGUAGCGAAAGUUACGCUAAUACCGCAUACGAUCUACGGAUGAAAGCGGGGGAUCGCAAGACCUCGCGCGAUUGGAGCGGCCGAUGUCAGAUUAGGUUGUUGGUGAGGUAAAGGCUCACCAAGCCGACGAUCUGUAGCUGGUCUGAGAGGACGACCAGCCACACUGGGACUGAGACACGGCCCAGACUCCUACGGGAGGCAGCAGUGGGGAAUUUUGGACAAUGGACGAAAGUCUGAUCCAGCCAUUCCGCGUGCAGGACGAAGGCCUUCGGGUUGUAAACUGCUUUUGUACGGAACGAAAAAGCCUUGGCUAAUACCCAGGGUCCAUGACGGUACCGUAAGAAUAAGCACCGGCUAACUACGUGCCAGCAGCCGCGGUAAUACGUAGGGUGCGAGCGUUAAUCGGAAUUACUGGGCGUAAAGCGUGCGCAGGCGGUUUUGUAAGACAGAGGUGAAAUCCCCGGGCUCAACCUGGGAACUGCCUUUGUGACUGCAAGGCUAGAGUGCGGCAGAGGGGGAUGGAAUUCCGCGUGUAGCAGUGAAAUGCGUAGAUAUGCGGAGGAACACCGAUGGCGAAGGCAAUCCCCUGGGCCUGCAC
rnacentral:rRNA from 1 species